rnacentral:rRNA from 1 species
UGAAGCCGGAAUUGCUAGUAAUGGCAGGUCAGCAUACUGCCGUGAAUACGUUCCCGGGCCUUGUACACACCGCCCGUCACACCAUGAGAGUUGGGAAUACCCGAAGCCUGUGAGCUAACUUUUGGAGGCAGCAGUCGAAGGUAGAAUCAAUGAUUGGGGGUGAAGUCGUAACAAGGUAAC